rnacentral:rRNA from 1 species
GACGAACGCUGGCGGCGUGCUUAACACAUGCAAGUCGAGCGGUAAGGCCCUUUCGGGGGUACACGAGCGGCGAACGGGUGAGUAACACGUGGGUGACCUGCCCUCAGCUCUGGGAUAAGCCUGGGAAACCGGGCCUAAUACUGGAUAUGACUCCAUGACGCAUGUUGUGGGGUGGAAAGCCUUGUGCGGCUGAGGAUGGGCCCGCGGCCUAUCAGCUUGUUGGUGGGGUGANGGCCUACCAAGGCGACGACGGGUAGCCGGCCUGAGAGGGCGACCGGCCACACUGGGACUGAGACACGGCCCAGACUCCUACGGGAGGCAGCAGUGGGGAAUAUUGGACAAUGGGCGAAAGCCUGAUCCAGCGAUGCCGCGUGUGUGAAGAAGGCCUGCGGG